rnacentral:lncRNA from 1 species
UCCCCCAUCCUGACAACACUAAUUAAUUUAAUUAGUUAAUUAAUUAAUUAACCAGGUGCAUGCAUGCCUUAGGCUAAUCCCAUUAUUAAUCAGCAGUGCAAUUGUCAGGAUGGGGAGACAUGCCGAUCUCCAUGCCUGAUUCCAUGACCUGAAUCUGGACGUUUUUUUAUAUAACCACACAUGGGUUUGACCAGGUCUCGACACUGCACUGACGUACGAAGUUCGUACGAAACUAUGGAAUAUUUUCAUGGUGGCUUAUCAGUUGCAGCUAAAUUUUAAAAAUUUUAAAAUUAAUUUUAAAGUUGAUUUUUAUUUUUUUAUCAUCAUAGUUUAUCAUCAUGGCUUUAUUUUCUUACUUAUUUUAUUUUUUACGGCAUAUUAGCAAUAGCUUAAUUAACCAGAGGUAUAUACUGUGUAGUGUGCCGAUAUCUUCAGGAAGCUUCAGACCCCCGUGUUAUCGACAAAGGACAUCGAUCGAUUAGAUUAACUUAUAAAUUAAUGAAUAGCUAAUUAAUCAAAAUAAUACGGACUUCGGAUCAACUGAUCACCAUAGUGAGAGAUUCUAGUCACAUGUAGGUCGAUGACCCAAUUAAUGAUUUCUUAUCCAUUGUCCAGGUUUAAAUUUAUCCACUAUUUUCAUUUGAUCCAUUUGGAUGGGUACGGAGAUAAGAAAAAAAAUUAUGGCAAUAGCGAAAAAAAUGGUUCAAAUGAUGAGGGUGGAGCAAGGACGGUCACGCUUGCAUAUACGAGAUUUGUCACAAAAUCGCCUAGAAAUUAAAUGUGACAUGCCAUUAAAUGUUGUUACCAUGAUUAAUUUCGUCGUUCAAUUGAAAUGAAGAAGGCUACAAUUUUGAAUAGUGGAUAAAUUUGUUUAAAACACCCACGCAUCAGUUAAAUUUGCCGCCAUCACUAAUUCGAUUUGUUUGCAUACAUGAUACUACCUUCGCCCUAAACUAUAAGGAUUAAUUUUUAGAUUUGAACAUGAUUAUUAAAAAAAGUAUGUAAAAUUAAAUGGGGAAAGAUUGUAAUAGGAUGAAAGUGGAGGUAGGUGAAAAAAAUUAAAUAGUGAAGAGUUGUAAUUGGUUAGGAAAAAAAUUUUAGUGCGGAAGUUGUUAUAUUUUUGGACGAAAGAAGUAAAGGUCUUCCUUUGAAUGUGUUGUGGUGUACUAAAAUAUAUAUACUCCUUGUAUAUAGUCUAUGGAUAAAAAUGCAAACAAAUUGCAAGAUUAUAGUCAUUUCAACUUGGGCCCUAAUGCAUGAGUAUAUUGAAGCAAAACAUACAUUACUUAGCAGCAAAUAUGUGUGUCAAUUUUGGAAUAUAGAAAUUUUACUGGAUUUUUACAUAAAUUAAUUAAUUCCCAUAAAUAUCCUUAAAAAUUCCUCCAUUCUGAAAUUAAAGAAGUGUCGCUCUAAUCCGCUAACAACUCGAUAUUUUUUUCAAAAAAAAAAUCUAUGGUAAAAAAAUAUAAAAGAACGAGUCUCUAUAUAGAUAUAUUUUAUGUUAUAAACUAAUUGUGCAUGACAACAAUCAUCUAAAAGAGCUUCCAAAGGUUCCUUUGAACAACCAUAUAUCUACCCGACUAGACGGUUUGUGUUCAGCUGCUGGUACAUGAUCAGGUGAGGGCAUGAGGCGUAAGGAGUGACCUUCAUUUAAUUCAAUUAUGGAUUUGCCUAUAGUUUAAACUUAAUUUUCUCUUAUCCUUAUUGAGAAAACAAUCCAAGAAUUGCAUCCAUACUUUCUUUCACCCAAAUGAAUGUGCUAUCUAGCUACACCUCCGUAAUAUUAAACUAGCCAGAAGUGAUAUAUAGAAAACAUUAGCAGAUUUAGAACAUAAUUUGUUCUAAAACCAAGCAUUUGCGGGGCAUUUAACUAUUUGUCACUCUUAAGAUGUGAUGAUAACAUAUUUACCAUUCGUUGUCUAUGGCAUGUGGACCCAGUGGUAAAUCUGUUCUCAUCCAUUGUAAGAGUGGCAAAUUGUUAAUUAUUCCAGCAUUUGCGGGACAUCCUAAUUCAGAGUACACUUCCUAUAUGUUGUGCAUUGUUUCAGAAAAAUCAAUUCAAUGUAGUUUCACACCUCUAAAAACCAAAAAGGCUGUGAAUAUUUAUCAGAUUAUCAGUAGUCCCAGACAGAUGGGUCCCAGAGGGAUGCCGCUUGCUGGGCCCACUCGUCAUUGUCCGUCUCUCCUCCUCCCUCCCAGACAGGUGGGGCCAUCAGCAUGGCCUCCGCCAGCUCAGCCCACAUGUUGGGCGACUUGGCCUCCAGCUCGUCGCCGCCGCCGCCGACCACCACGUCCCACUCCCACGCCGCCGCCGCCACCGCCGCCGCCUCGGCCUCGCCGGCGGAGCAGCAUCGUCGUCUGGCGUCGUCUCCGCCGGCGACGACGAGGAGGUCGGGGGUGAAGCGGACCUGGGCGGCGGCCUCGAGCGCGGCGGCGCGGACGUCGCCGGGCUCGGCGGUGUCCGGGCGGCGGAAGCGGUGGGCGAUCGCCGGGAAGUUGAGGCGCGCGUCCCGCCCCCGGAGGCGGAGCGCGGCCACGUCGUGCGCCACGGCGGCCAUCUCCGGCGACUCGAAGCUCCCGAGCCAGAUGCGCGUCUUCUUCCCGGGCUCCCUGAUCUCCGACACCCACUUCCCCCACUUCCUCUUCCUCACCCCUCGGUACUGCCCCGCCAUCUCCCCGCCGCCGCCGCCGCCGCCGUUCUGCAUCACCACCACCUCCAUUGCUGCCGCCGCCGCGCAAUGCCUGCUGCUACCUGAUGAUCGAGCUUCGAUCGAUCGCUUGAUUUCUUGCGAAAUGCUUCAAUGGCGAGCUAGCUGAGCUAGUGCGAGAGUGAGAGCUGAUGCUUGGAUGCGAUUUAGAGGUGUAUAUAUAGAGAGAGAUGGAGAAGAGAGAGAAAUUUUAGAGAGAGAGGAAGAUGAAAUUGAUGAUGGUGCAUGCAUGGGGUUGGGGGAGACAGCUGGAGGCUAAUACGUGUCCAUUUCCUAUAAAAAUAAUUUCUUUUUUUUCACAUAUAUAGAUGUUUGUAUUUAUAUAUGUUUAUGUAUAUAAUAUGUGUAUAUAGAAAAUUGUGGGGGAGAGAUUGUGCUGAUGCAUUAUCCACCGGCAAGAUGCUGGGUUUCCAUUCUGGGGAGGGAGUUUCCUGGAUACUUCACAGGUUUUGGUGGUUAGUUUGUGAAGUUGAUCAUAAACUGAUAAUGUACUACUAAUGUCAUCAUGCAUUUUUUUGUUUAAUUGUUGCAAUGUCGUUGGCUAAUAUAUAUGAAUACAUGAUAUGAUCCAAAAGGUAGUUGAGUGCUUCUGUGUAUAUGACAUAUACACCCACAUUUGGUAUGUAACAUGCAUGUAUAUUGGUUUGAGCAUUUAGUUUUAUGGAUGAUCGACUAAUUUUGUAUUUAUGUGUGUCAUUUUAAAUGUGGGCCUUCAAAUUAUUAAUUUUCUAUAAUAUGUAUGCUCUCCUAUAUUAUAAAAUGGCUUGUGAUGUGGUGUAGUGGUACAGUCAUAGGCGCAUUUAUCUACCAUGGUUAAAAUCCUGUUUUUGACAAAUAUCAAACGUGCGUUUGUGGGUUUUCAAUUAAUGUAAAUUUAGUGAUAUCAGGGAUGUAAAGUUGGUUUUCAUCCCUUUGAAUAUGUGCUAGGGGCAUUUUCGUGGGUAUGUGAGGUGUGAUGGUGUGUGUUUAGUGGUGUGUACAUAUGUAACUGAAAAAAAAAAUGGUUGUGAAGAUUUGCUAGCUAGCUGUCACUCCUACUAAGCUAGCGCAAACACCCAAUUAGACAUUUAAUUCUUUUGGUUUGUCAUGUUUCCCUCGCACAAUCACCCAAUUAAACUAAACAAUCUGAACAUUACAUUACUCUAUAUACAUUUUGGCACAGACAUGACAUGAUCUACCUGGUUGAAUUGAGUGGUUCCCCUUAAAACAAGCAGAAAACAUUUAAUCACCGAAAUCUACAUAAAAGGUGAUGCCUUUGACCACACGCACGCGCUGAGAACUACAUGUAGCAGGCGUAAACCAGCAUAGUUGCAGUCCAAAUAAAUAUUUGUGGCGCUCUCAAACAGCUGUAAAACCUAGUGAUAUGAACAAUUUGAGAUUAAAUACACAAAGGCAUUAAUUAAGCCUGACGUGGCAUCGUCCAGGGAUCAACACGUGUUGUGCUGGGACUUGAUCAUCAGUCCAUCUCGGCCGUUUUAUACACGUUUGUUUUUCCUCACAUAUUUUGUGACAUCAAUGUCAAACAAUCCUCCUGGGGAGAUUCUCAGGUAGAACCUAGUAGAUAUGUCACUGCCACAUCUAAACGAGAGUAACUUUAAAUUACUUUAUGCAAAAUUAACAUGUGACAUUCCAGAUCAACCACCUUGGCACCAGCUUGAUCGCUUCGAGAGAUGAAUCUUGAUGAUGUUUUGAUAUGUUUUAUGAUCAAAAUAUAAAGAUUUGGUGAAACUUUGUCCUAAACAUCAAAUAUAUUUAUGGCUGAGUUUUACAAAAGCUUUAAAAUAUAUAAUUUCUUCAACUUAUUUUCACACCUUCAAACUCGCUUGUACAAUUAAUUAUUGAACACCUAAACUUAUGAAGUACUAUCGGGUGCGUUCGCAUCUCAUGCUAGUUAUUCUUUCAAUGUUACAUAUCGUGUCUAUCAAUAAUGAAACUUAUGUACUUAUAGAUCGAGACAAGUGCAUCUAUGCUCUUCGUAGAGGUGAAUUAUGUGCGUGUAUAUGAGCACCUGUGUUUGGAACGAAUUUAAAAACAUUACAUUAGUAGUUUAGUGCAUAGUGACUAGCAAAGGUUAAGACCAACUUUAAAAAUCUUUGUAGAAUAUCAUCAGUCAAACUCUCAAGUAAAUUUGGAAAUGAUUACCACAUUUAAAAAUAGUUGCGAGACCUUGAUAUUCUAGCUCUAUCGUCUCGUUUGCUCUUCAGCUUAUCAAUAAUAGCCAAUUAAAAUUUUAAAACUUAAUUUUAGAGUUUAAUUUGCUUUUCCUUUAUCAUAGUUUAUUUUUCAGCAUUGAUUUCUAAUUAAGUUUCUAAUAUAUACAAUUUUUUCUUAUAAAUUACUUUUUAGGGUAAUAAGUUUUGUGGCUUACAAUUAAUUAUAGACAAAACGAGGUGACUAUAAGCUUAAACUCAGCAUUUCAUAAUUGUAAUUUGCAGAGGGGUCGUUGUCAUGUCUUAAUCGCACGCAUGGGCUUGGGGUUGGAGUUGGACUAGGAGAGGCAGGCUGGCUUCCAUUACACAAGAAAAUUAUUUUUUUAAGAGGUUACACAAGAAAAUUAUUAUUGUGAGAUGCAGAGAAAGGGGAAAUUAAGCUAGGGGAGAGGGACAAACGAGAGGCACCUGCAGCGGCGAUACGUGUCCACGCGACUUUGACCGUUGCACGGACUUCUCCGUCCGUACUACUGGUCACCGCUGAGGUGGGCCCACCGGCCCAGCAUCACUGAACGAAUUUUCAGCUCGCUUUUUUAUUUUAUAUUUUUAUAGGCUAUAUAAGCUAAUUACUUUUUUUUCAUUAUAUGGCAGUCACACGCGUGCACAUUAUUACACACGUAAUACUGCUACACUCACAACACCAUGGAUGCACCCCUAAUACACAUGCCCUAAGAUAUGAAAACCAACAGGUGACGGCACAUCCUUAAUCAUAAUAAACCCUGUUGAAAACACACACUUAUGAGUCUAAAUUUUAUAAAUUCUAGGAUUUAAACACUGGUGGAUGGACUAUGGAGUCAUAUACCCACAACUUCACCAUUACUACCGAUCGAUGCUUCCAUUAGCUCAUGUUUCGUUCACUCAUCGUACACAAUUUAAUUUUAACGCUGGUUGAAGUAUUGAUCACAAAGAUAUAUAAUGCAGUCCCAUGUCCUAGUAAAAAAGUGGGUUUUUGUUUUUUUAUUUAUCUUAUAAAACUUAGGGUCCUAUCGACAUCUUAAUACCACUACAUUUUUUUCUUCUCAUUUUAGCCAUUAAAUCAUUAGUACUCCCUUCUUCUCAUUAGCUAAAUGCUCAUGCUUUGCUACGUAUAACAAAAAUAUCAUAAUAUUUUCUAAAAUAAAUAAAUCAUAUUUUCCAUGAAAAAUGUUACCCAUAUUUUUCCCUAUAACAAAAUUUGGCUACCCACAUUAAUUUUAUAUGUGGCUAUCCAUUUAGAUUUAGUUGUUUUGUAAUAUUAAGAAGUUUGAGCGGUAAUAUAUAUGUCAAAAUUGUAAUGGAAGUAGGUGGGGUAACAGAUAGUCUUUUUAAAUUAGGAGUAUAGAUUUUUCUCCCUACAUUAAUAGAGGAUGUAAUAUUUAUUUGGUAUCUUUCUUGAUAUACUUUGACUUUCGAAAAUAACCAUCUUAUUGGGACGAAGGGAGUAUAUUUGAGGGAAUUUCUUGUGUUUUCAGCUCACUUCUUUAAUGUUUGUCAACUGGUGGAAAGACUUUCUGCAAUUCCAUUGUUUUAUGAUUUGUUAUAUUUUUCAUUUUCUUAGCAAGCUAACGAGCCAAACCAGGUGGAAACAACUUAAUUCCGUUCAAAAUAAAAUAAUUUUAAUUUUUUUAAAAUGUAGAUGAAUCAAAGCAAUUUUGAUCCGAGACAGCUAAAUUAAACUAACUUUUUUAUUCUUUUACCAACAUUUUCAUCCAUGGUGAGGGUGUUAAUUAUAGUUCUUUAUUUAAUCUGAAUUUUUGGCACUAAUCUCAAAGUCCCAUGAAAUUAAGCGAUAAUAAUUUGUGGGUCUAUAGGCCCCCCAAAUCGAAAAGGACAGCAUGGAGUCGAUUUUGUGGGCACUGCCGGUGGGGUCUGAUGAGCAUGUACACAGCAGAGCCUGGAUGCAUGUGUUCAAUCAAUUAUAAUUCUUAGUUUGGUGGAAUAAUGAAAUACUCUUCGUAUGCACAUCCUUUUUUUUCAGAGUAAUAGUAGAUAGAUCUCAUUUUUCAACAAAAAUCGUAGAGUACUGAGUACGUACAGAUGAGGAUGAGGCUGAUACGCAGGAUCUAGUGAUAUCUGUCUAUAGCAUUGAUGUCACCUUCAACCAGCAGAUCCUCUGCAUUUAGCUAGACACAAACAAACAAUUUGGAUAACUAAUCUCUUGUUUUUUCUUUUAUUUUUGCGAUUAUAUAUAGGCCUAAAAGCAAAAUAGUAGUAGCUACUAGUAUUGUAGGUAUAUUUGCGGGUGUGUGAGUGUGGUACAUGUUCGUGAGUAUUUCCUCCAGGCUGAUAAUAUUAGUCGUUUUGGACAAGGGUAAAGUCAAACUUUAAAAUCUUUGACUACAAAUAAUUUCUAAAAUAUUUAUCUUAAAAAUAUGAAAACCACAUGUAUAGAUUAGUCUUAAAAAGUACUUCAAUAAAAUCAUAUAUUUGUUGGAAUUUCUAUAUAUUUUAUAAUGGAAAAUAGUUGUAAAAGUUACGUUUUGAAGACCGUGCCCUUGUCCAAAACGACAAGUAUUAUUAACCCGGAGGAAGUAAUAUUUCUUUUUUUGCACCAUUUAGGGCAUGUUUGGUAGAGCUCUAACUUCUAAAUUUAGCUUCACGAGUUGAGUCUGGAGUAGAGUUGUGGAGCUGUCUAAACCCAGUUCCACCUCUCUAGUUCAUUUUGUGAGAGCGCUCAACCCAGCUUCGCUCCCAUUUUAAAUGGAGCUAAAACUGUUUGGUUGGGCUACACCUCCAGGAGAGGUGGAGCUGGAUCUAGAGCUAUGCUAAACAUGCCUUUAUUAAGUUGCUCUAUUUCUGAGUUAUCCUGACUGGUUUGGUUUAGAAUACUCAAACACCAAAUAGCAAACCAUUUUUAGGGAAAAAAACUGUCAGGUAAUGCCUCGCAUUUAUAUUUAACAAACUAAUUAAAGAAAACAUACACACAAAGUUAAUUUAAAGUUUUUUUUACUAUAUCAUGAAAUUGCAGCUUUCAUUUAUACACUCUAAUUGUUACUACCCUCUCUAUCUAAAAUAUAAGACGCAACUACCACUAACGCAAUAACCAUAAAUUAUUACUAUUUUCUCGUUUGAAUCACUUUAAUAAAUAUAAUGCAUGCAUUCAAUGGGAUAUAUUAGAGAUUUUAAGGAUGAUGAUUAAAAAAAAUUUGAAAGAGGAGGAGAUAAUAGUUAAUUGAAUGCAUGCAUUCAUACAUAUCAUCUUAUAUUAUGAAACUUUGAAAAAAAGGUUGUAUAUUAUAUUUUAGGAUGGGGGCGAGUACUUGAUAAUAAGAAAUCCUCACUUGGUCACUGUACUAACUACCAUUCCAACAAAAUCAAAUUAAUUCCACAUAAUAAAACCCCUACAUAAGAAAUUGCUGACGGGUCAUGGACAAGAGCGUACGGAGGAAUCAUGCGGCGGAAUGGCAAAUUAACCAAUACAGUGCCAGACCAUCGAUCGAUCGAUUGCAUAAUGCCAUAAUGUAUACUCCCUCCAUGCUGAUAAAGUUUUGAACAAUGACAUGUCUUCAAAACACAACUUUGACUUAUUGUUUCUAUAAAAGUAUUUACUGAAAAGUGAUAUAUGUAUAUUUUUAUGAAAAUAUUUUUCAAGACAAAUCUAUUCAUAUAUUUUUUACAUUUUCAAACUCAACAACCUGAGAGUUGCGUUCGCGAAAAAAAAAACUUAAGAGUUAUUCAUGAUUUAUAUUUCUAGGAUUUGACUUAAACAUUGUCCUAUACGACUUUCUUUACGAGUACGGAGAGAGUAUAUUGUUGCUGAGGCGUUGGGCCCACCGGUAAGAGAUACUCCUCUAUCGAUCCCAACAUAUAAGUAUUUAUACGUUAUCUAGCAAAUAAUAAGAUUGAAGUAAAAGAAAUCAUUUAUAGUCUAUAUCAGUGGUCAAAUUUCGAAUUGCUUAGAUUCUCCUCCCCACCACCGUGAUUGGCUGGAAAUGUAUAGCUUUAGUGUAUCAAAAUCAAUAUCUCAAAAAUACUUUAUAGUAUUGCGAUAUAAAUUUUAAUUUAUACUCUCUCCUCCUCAUUUUAUAUGACAUUGGUUAGUUUAAAAAUCAACUAACCAACGUUAAACAAAACAAACUAGAGAGAGUAUGUAGUUAAAAAUACUUAAAUUUUAGAACAAGCAAACAAAACAAAGUAUAUAGUUAGAAAUAUUUAUAUUUAAAACGAAAGAGUAUGUAAUAAGGAUCAUAUUAGAGACAGGCCCCAGCUCCUAGUGAAUGCCUCGAGCUAGCAGUACGGUAUCUUUUUUUUAAUAUACGAUGUUGUUGACUUUAAAUAAACGUUUAAUUGUUCGUUUUAUUAUACAAUAAGUUUAUAUAAAUAUGAAAAAAUUUAAGUCACGUUUAAAGAACACUUACGAUAAAUCAACAACAAAAUAAAUAAUAAUUAUAUAAUUAUUUUAAAUAAAAAAAGGUUAAAUAUAUCUAAAAAAUCAACCGCGUUAUAUGUUAAAAAAAAAAGAGGGAGUACACAGCUCGAUAAAGUAGCUGGCUGAAGUAAUGUGGCUGGGCCUGAGACUGAGAGCCACGCAUAGCUUGUGCCAUCUCCUGCUGAAUCCAUCCAUGCAUUCAUUCAUCGGCGAGCCAUGCGUGUGUGCAUCCGUGCAUUGCAUGAAUGCAUGCACCUGGCUAAUUGAGCUGCUGGUUGAGUUGAUUUCAAGCAAUCAUAAGCUAGGCGUUGGUUAGUUCCCAAACAACAACUUUUUACCAUGUUAUAUGGACACAUGCAUAAAGUAUUAAAUAUAGACGAUAAAAUACUAAUUAUACAGAUUACAUGUAAAUUGCGAGACGAAUCUUUUAUACCUAAUUGCUUCAUAAUUUGAUAAUGUGAUGCUAUAGUAAAUAUUUGUCAAUGACAGAUUAAUUAGGCUUAAUAAAUUCGUAUCACAAUUUACACGUGAAAUCAAACUUUUCAUCUCGCGAACUAAAGAGGAGCCUAAGUUCAGGGUUCCAUCCUGUACUACUGACACAUUUCGACUGUAUGGGGGCGUGAGCUCAUAGUAAUGCCUACGCGUUUUUUUAGUUGUCUCCAUUUUUUCCACAUUGAGGGUGUGAGUUCCUGAAAAAAAAUUGAAAGUUUAAAGAAAGUUGAAAGUUUAGAAAAAAAGUUGAAAAUUUAUGUGUGUAAAAAAGUUUUGAUGUGAUAUGAUAUGAUGAAAAGUUGGGAAUAUGGGGGAAACUAAACACGGCCUGAGCUAGGAGAGUUUACCACUCACCUCCAUAGUUUUCGCGUGUACGCUUUUAAAAUUAUUAAAUGGUACAUAUAUAUAUAUAUAUAUAUAUAUAUAUAUAUAUAUAUAUAUAUAUAUAUAUAUGAAAGUUAUUUGAUAAAAUUAUAUUAAUCUAUUUUUAAGUUAAUUUUACUAAUAUUAAUUAAUUUUUCAUUAAUAAACCACCAUGUUUUUCAUACAUGGAGAUGGAGUUCCAAACUCCACCUCCUAAACACAGCUGAAAUCUCUAGCAAUUCUAAGGCAAAUUACCAUUCCCAUCAUUUUUAAAUAUAGGAGGUCAUUAAUUUUUACUUGUAUUUUACCAUUUAUUUUAUUAAGAAAAAUAUUGCGGAUAAGUAAAAUAAUAAGCUAUGCUUAGAGUACCUAUAAUAAUAAAAAAAAUCACAACAAAAUAAGUGAUACUUAUAUAGUUUAUUUUUUAAUAAGAUAAACAUUUGUAUGACAAAUUCUAAACGCUAGAAAUCUAAGUUUCGAGGGACAGAAUUAGUAUCAUUACUUUUCACUUUCGGGGCAUCGUACCCAAUCUAUGUAGGGGCUAAUUGUGUGUGUGUGUAUUGACGGAAUUAUUAUUUUUUUGACGGAAUGUAAUGGUAUAUAUAUUGUAAACUGAUCUUUAUAGUUGAUUUAUUUGUAGAAGUAAGCCGUCAUCGAUGGCAUAUCGUAAUGCUUCUCUUAGUAUUAUAAUAAGAGUAAAUUUCAGACCAAAUUAUUAUAGAUUUAAGAUGAACUAUCACAAUGAUUUUAGAUGGUGCAUUACAAAACUAGAGAUUUAUUAAUACCAAAUUUAGCAUACAACUACAUGUAUUUUUUGUGAUAGAGUCCUAGCCUUAGAUCUACAGUAUUUAGUGCUAAAACUACAGUAAUAGUUUGGUCAAAGUAUUUACAGUUUUAUAAAAUUUACUUAGAAUAAUAUAGCGAGACUUGAACUCAUAAUCUUGUCAGAUGGUACUAAUAUUGAAGCAUAUGCUAUUAGCAAUUACCCCCUCUAGUAAAUAACGUCAAAUAAAUUUGACUGGAGGGAUUAUAACUGCAUAUAUGUUGCUGUUACUCCACAGUUGCCAGAACAAAUGUGCUGAUGCAAACAUUACGAAACAUGAUAUCAGAACAUACAUGUUCAUUCGUUAAGCUCGUUUUAAUUAGAUCAGGAAGCUUCCCAGAUCCUGCACGAAAGGAGGGCUCGAGAUUAGGAUAUAAUGGACACAAUGAGAGCCCCAUCACACUCUCGAUCAAUUAACUGGACUAACAGAGACAUGGGGAGACACAAAGAUUAGCUCUUACUUAAUUUAAGGAUAUAUGCUACAAAACAACAAAGCUAAAGUAUAUAAUCAGCCAAAGAGCUUUCUGUCCAGUUGUCUGAUUCAGUCCAGGAUUUGGGUUGACCUAGUGCAUGUGCUGCCAACAUUUCCUCUCUGUGACCAUGACACUGCUUCCUAAUUUCUUUUUCUUUUUUUUCUUUUUUGGCCUUGAUGUAUAUGGCACAGUGGUUUGGCCUGGCUAGCUAUACCAUCAACCGGACUUCGUGUGAUCCUACAAAUAAUAUCAUAGGUUUAGGUCUCACUGGACUGUCGAUCCGAGCACAUAAUUAUUAUGUACUUGACCAACUUAACGUAAAAGACUAGUUCGAUGGAUGAGAAAUCACGGUUAAUCUGAAUGCCAAUUUAUCUGUCUAGCAGUCAAGGCCUAUGCAUAGCAUAUGAAUAAAAUAUGCGGUACUGUUAGGUAUUUUUACGUCGGUGUAACUAAGCUUCAGAAAGUUAAAAGAUUGCCUCUGUUGUGCAUAUCCUUUAUUGAUCUCUGCAAAGUAUGAUACAACUGUAAGUAAAAAACACUCCCGAGCUAUGCUAUGCAUAUACAUUUUGGGAGGAGAAAAGAGCAUCCUGAGCAUAACUGAACUUCAUUUACUGAGGCUGUGUUUAGUUCCUUUCAAAGUUGGAAGUUUGGGUUAAAAUUGGUAUGAUGUGACUGAAAAGUUGUGUGUAUAUGGCAGGUUGAUGUGAUGGAAAAAGUUGUAAGUUUGGAUCCAAAGUUUAGAUCUAAACGCAGCCUGAAUGGUGAAUUGAUGCCUCAUGAGAACCCAACCCAGGAUGGUCCAUGGUGAAUUUUAUUUGGCAGAUGCAGUAAAUAUGAUUUGUCACAUUCCAUCUAGGACAGAUUGUUUUUUUUACCCAGACUGAACCUGGAUGAAUGCUAGUAAUGUGGAGACUGGAGACAGAGAGAGGAGCAGUACAGCAUGCAUGCAUGGAAGCUAGGAAUGGGAGGGCACAGGAGAUGAUCAGAACAUAUAUAUUCAAUAGGAUCUCAGUAGUAACAAUGGCACACAGCUGAGCAAGAACAGGCUACAGGAAGUUGUACGAUGGCAAACUUCAAUAUGGUUUCUAUCUAUCCAUUGGCCCAUCAUCAUGCAUGCUUCUGUGUUUGAAAUGAUUCGAGUCUUUUUUAUUGUCCACACUAUCUGAUAGCUAGCUAUGGUGAGUAUGGUCCAUGGUUCAUCAAAUUUCUGAACAUUUAUAGUGCUCAGUUUUUGCAGAAUGUAGGGUCAGGUUUAUAGCACAAUGAAUGAACAGAGACAAGAAAGGAUCUAGAAAUUCACCCAAUCAGUGGUAAAGAAGAAAAUAUAACACAAUUUAUUUGCAUUAGGAGAACAUGCUUGCUGUUGGUAAGAAAUAAUAAGAACAAAAGGUAUUAACAAAAUACACGAUUUACAUUUUUUUCCAAUCUAUCAGGCUGGUGUCCAAACAUACUUCGUCAUCUUUAAAGGCAUUGCAAAGAUUCACUGAAGUUUGGAUUUCAGUUUGAUUUAAAGUAAUAAGCCGACAAUGAUGCAUUUAAUCCUCUCAUCAUACGUUAAUUCAGGACUUUCGCUAUAUAAAAAUACAGAAUAAUGUAUAACCAUGCCUCCAGAAAAUCCCAAGAAUGUGAACAUGGACACAGACAGUCACGCUUAGUAUUAAGUGCGAGUUAGCUUAUCUAUGUUAGAAAUGUAGACAGUGAAUAGUGAAUAGCUGUCAUUUAUCAUUGAUCUCAAGGUCCCUUUAUAUAUUAGGGAGAGUACAAGCCUAGGAUUCUAGGCAUUAGUGUAAUACAUCAAUUCUCAUUCUAAAUGUAGCAAAUAAUGUUCAUUCAUUUUCUUGUAAUAAGGUGGUUUGAUUGCUUUAAACAUAGUUGUUACAAAGAAUUCAAAACCACCAUGAUGGCUGCAUUGACAAGGUCAAAUAAUGCCUUCUGUUACAAUCUACACUCUUUACCCCAAAAUAUAAGAAUCUAGUAGUGGAUGGGACACAUCCUAGUACUACGAAUUUGAACUGAGGGCUAUGUCCCAUCCAGUACUAGAUUCUUAUAUUUUGGGACGGGAGGAGUAUUAUUUGAUGAUUUUUUUUAAGUGUGUGCAUCCCCUAAACUCUCUGAAAAACAGGGGAUGUGGAUAAGGGAAGAAUAGCAGAGGAACCUAGAUUGUGCAAACCACUUGACAUAUUUAAGGAAACUAAAAUGAUAAAGAAAACAAAAUAUGGAGUUAAAAUGUGGAAAUAAGCAAAUGGUGAUGAUGUCAGAAAGGCAGAAUACAGGCCCAAACACAGGAAAGAACAGAACAUUUGGGCUGGCAUCAAAGAGGUUCAGACUUCAGAUUUCAGAGGUUGUAUGGUCUCACUCAUCUAGGUAAUCAGCCCAUAUGAGCAUUGAAACAAAACAAGCCCAUUGUAUGUUUUUUUUUCUAGCUCUAUUGAAUAAGGUGUAGAAAGAACUUGUUCUUUAGGAUUGGGUCAAAGUUUGCUGUUUGCAUGAUUAAGUUCCACUGAUGUACAGUACAAUUUCACUAUUUUCUUUGAUUAAAAAUGAACAAUGUGUCUGAUCAAAACAAAGUACCUUAAUGAACUUUCUCAUUGUUCACAAGGAUUUCUCUCCAAGUUCUUAGAAACCAGCCUAUUUGCAGCAUGAGUACAGUUACAAGCUCAGACUACAUACGAGAACUACAUCAAAGUUUUUCUACGUACAGUAUUACAUCCACUUUGUUGAUUCCCAUCACAUGUUCUAUGUUACCAACUUACCAUCUGCUUUCCUCAUUUGCUUCCCAUCCAUUUUUACUCCAAAUAUCUGAAAACUGAUCAAGUUAUUAGUGCGUGUUCUGCAUGUUGGAUGUGGCACUUUUUUUUCGUAGAUAAUUGCGUUUGAACAGCCUACCAUUCUAAAUGUGCAGUGGUAAAUAUUUAUACCCUUUUUGAAGGAAGAAUAUAUACACCUUCAGAUGUUUCAUGAGGGAUUAUGGAAAAUAUAUCUUACACUGUACUUAAAACAGAGACAAACAUAACAUGAAAUACAAAGGUAUGUAGAAAUAAAAUCUAGACUUACAUGAGUGAUGUACAUGGACAACAUUCUACACCAAAGAAGAAGCAUCCUUAUGAGCUGAAAGCUCUUGAGAUUGCAUAUAUGAAGUCCAAUAAACCAGUCCCCUUGAGAAGGCCUUUCCCAGUUAAAAGUUCAAAGUCUAUUAACAAGAGAAAGCCAAUUAUAGCGGCUUUCCCAUUAAUUAGUUCAUUCUUAUUAGUGAAACCAAAACCUCCGACAUCCUCAUCAAUCACCAUUCUCACCUGAAAAAUGUAAAACAGAGGAUUAUAUUCUGGUAAAUAGCUCAGUGAUUUUUUUUUGGUAGAGUGAUAUACAGACCAGAUUUCUAUCUGAAAAAAAGCUCUGUGAAAUUUUGCAGACAAUGGAGUAUACUGAAGUUGGAUUCAUCUGAGUUUCAGAGGAAGGACCAAAGCAAAGCAUAGAUAUGAUCUACAGUUUCAGAGAAAAAGUAAGGAAGAAAGGAGUGAAACCUCUUCGAUAUUGACAUCGGAUGCAGUAAAUCCAGGUUGUGCUUUCCCACUGAAUAUAAUCUCUGCGGAUCCACCGGAGGUAACAGCCCCCUUGAUACUGAUGUAUAUAUUCUCCCCAUCGAUUUUCACAGGGUACACGAAUAGUUUUCUCAAUGCAGGUGUAAGAGCCCUUAAAACAGGGUUGUUGGGAUACCAUUCCUUUAUUUCACCAGUACGAAGAUCAAAUGUACUAUCUGUUGUUGGGCAAACAAUGCAGCCGUCCUGAAAGACAAACAAUAUAAAGGUUACAUCUUUGAGAAAGGAACUGGAAUGAUCUCAUUUUCAAGCAAGUGAUGUCCAACGAAGUCAAAUGAAAAGAAGUGAACACUUACUCUUGUCAACAAAUUUGAAAUACGAAAAUAUUGUGAAAGAUUAAUAAUCUUCAAGUGAUAGAGAUUAGUUUCCAAGUUCAUAUGGUCAAAAGAAGGCUAACUCACAGUGUUUCAGAUUUGUAAGAGAACUUUGCAAAACUAGUAUAACUUCAUACUAACUCCACUAGUAAACGAAAUGAUUACGAACAUAGCUAUUUUCCUAAGAUCACAUUCAUGCACACGCUUAAUUUUCAUCUUGUACAAACAAAACAAACAUAAAUUUAAACAACAAUUUUAACUGUUCAAAUUUAUAGCCCAAGGCCUCAGCAAGGGAAGUGCAGCACACUUGACAAAUUGGGUAUUUCAUUCCUAGCAUUCCUACAGAACCUCAAAAUUGUUGCAUCAUCUAUUGCUCCUGGUUGUCACACGUGAUCCAUAUCAUGUUUCGAUAUUUUUUUAAUAAAAGGGUGCUAAUGAACAUAUGACAGAAAGCCAGAUAACUAAGCAAAAGAAAAAGGAUGUACAAAUUAAAAGUUCGUUUCAAAAGAAUCCAUGUACGUUCUCUCGGCUAACUAGACAAUAUCUAUAUCUAAAGAAAAAAGCUCACUAGACAAUACCUCCCCAAGUAAAUUGAUUUUGUCGCUACUCCAAACAAUUCAUAUUCUUGACACCCUAACAAGAACAAGGUCCUCAGCCAUUUUUAUUGCAUAUAGCAUUAGGGUUCUCCAUCUCCGGGGGUCCAGGGGAAUUAGGUGUUAACUUGGGGUUGCGCUAUAUCUAUCGAAAAGUAUACAGCAAAGAUACAUUUGGUGAAUCAAAUCCAUGUUUUAAUAAGAAUCAUGUGAACUUAACGUUCUGGCCACACGCAAAAGAAGUCGGUGGAACGUACGGAAUUUCCAAUUUUAUUUUUCUAUGAUAUGUUUUUCCAUAUGAAAAUUGACGCUACUUACAGGCAUCCCAUGACAUUGCUACGUAUCUAUACUUUCUAUAUAGUUGGUACCCACUAACAAUUAUUAGAAGCUAAAGCUCAACAUGCAAGCAUGCCAUGUCAUCACCCACUAGCAAUUACUAUUCUAGCCCAUUUAAAAACCCAUGCAAGCAUGCCACAUCUUCACUCACUAGCAAUUACUACUAUUCUAGCCUAUUUUAAAUCCCAUGCAAGCAUAACGCAUCAUCUAUAAUAUUAUAUUAUAGAGAUCGACAAGUAUAUGUUGAAUCAUCUUCCUCACAUUAUUUUCUCAACAUUUCAACUUUCAUCAUUUCGACAAUAUUUAACAUAUACUCAUACAUGAAUCCCGCAGCAAAGCGCGGAGUACCACCUAGUAUCAAUACAUUGAUCACCAUCCCUUUGACAUGAAGAAAUUUAAUCCAUUACAUACGAGAACUGUAGUUAAAAAAAAUUACUUACGUGAGCUACAAUAUGUCUAUGUUUGUGCCAAUUAUGCUCAAUUGGAUUGUUCAUAUUAUGUCAGAAUAUACCAAAAAAAAUGCCUCUAUAUGUGAUUGGUGAGAUCAAAAUCUAUCAACUUCUGGCUUUCGCGGAUCAGAAAAAUUGGGAAUAGGAAAUUAGUCUACAAGACAUUACACAAGAUAAGUUGGAGUAGUAGUAGUAGUAGUAGUAGGGAGUAUACUAUGUUGUAUGAAUAGUAGCGCAAUUGGGAGGAAGGAGGAGGAGGACCUGGGUGAGCUUGGCGUUGAGGAGGCCCUCGGUGUAGGCGCCCUCGGCGGGGGAUCGAUUCUCGACGGCGUACACCUGCUCCUUGUACCACAGCAGCAGGAUCUCCUCCCCGUCCUGCACGAUCACCCGCCGCUCCCCACGCGGCAGCGCCGCCAGCGGCACCACCGGCACCCAGUUCCCAUCCCCGCUCGCCUCCCCCGCCGCCGCCGACGGCUCCGCCCCCGACACCUCCGCCGCGCGGCAACCGACGACCCUCUGGUGGUGCCGCAGGGUGGCUGUGGCUGUGGCGCGCGGGGGCGGCGAGGCGGACGCGGCGACGCGGCGGCGGUGGAGGAAGGAGGAGGCGGCUGCGGCUGCGGCGGUGGUGGUGAUGGACGCCAUGUGGAGAGGAUGCGGAGAUGGCGCGUGGUGGGGUUAGGGUUUGAGGGGGAGGAGGAGGAGGGGGAGGGGGUGGUGGAGUGGAGUGGCGCGGCCAUGGCCACAGGAUGGGGAUAAAAGGGGAGGAGGAUUUGUAUUUUGUGGGGAAGAGAAGAGGACACAUUUAUACGCUGCUGUCCACGCGAAAACGCGCGCUCCCUCCCACGUUCAAAUUCAACGCGGGAGGCGACGUGGCGAGACGAGAAGCUGGCCAUGGAUUCUCCUCUCUGCUCUGCAGCACUCGUGUGGAGAUGAUUUUCUGCUGGAAUUUCCUCAGCCGCGAGAGAUGUCUGCGAUCCUCUCUGUGGGUGGGUGGCCGCUGAGGUGUUUUGCCUUGGAGCCGGAGGCCGUGGGCACAAGGUGUUUGAGGAAAUGCCUGAGAGGGAUGGAUGGUAUGGAUGAAUGAAUGGCAUCGCCAUCUCAGCCAUUCAGCCGAGCCCCACCCAUCCUGGUGCCUCUGCAAUGGCCGUGAAGGAAUAAAUUAGUCAGAUUUUAGACGUGUUUGUCCCUUCGGCUGCAGCUUGGCAAAACAGGACAGGUUUGGCGUGUCCAUUGACCAUUGUUCAGGUGUUCUGUGCACGUCGCAGUGUUGGAGAUGGAGGUGUGAUGCCGGAUUGCCAAUGGGGUUGGGUUGGUCUGAAUGAACCUUUGAGCUGCGUCGCAAAUGUGCUACAGUUUUAUGCACGCGAGUGGCAGCAUCCUUUCCUUGGUUGCUGUCAGAGCCUCAGAGGAGUUUAUCUGAAUAAUCUUCAAUGGAUCAGCGUGGCCUGGUGGUUGAGGAUAUGACUACAAAGCCCAGUGCAUCACCAUUCCUCAGAGUUGUCAGCGCGAUUAUGUGGAGAAACCAUAGUGAGUCCUCGGUAAUCUUCUGUAAUUUCUGUCAAUACUCCUUCCAUGAUUUGCUUAUUCAACCACUGCAUCUAUCCAUUUAUGAAAAUGGGGAGAGUUUUGUUCAAAACGAAAAAGGAAACUGAGCAAAGAAAAAAAAACCCACACUGGUUAACUUUAGCUCUCGAGAAAUCCUCUCCUCCACUCAUUUUCUCUACUACAUUUUGCAAAGUAUCUUUAAGAUUUUUGCCUGCCCUUCUAUAGUUCAGUUAGAGUGGGGAUAGGAAAAGGAAAGGAAAGAGAAAGAAGUCCUGAGAAAUGCAUUGCAAAAAGCAGCCCCUUGUUUUAGGAUUCCAUAUUCAUUUCUCAUAGUUAUCCCCGCCUUUCUCUCCUCCAUUGGAGGAUUAGAACGGAGAGAGAGGAAGGUGGGGAAAAUUGUUAGAUUUGUUCAUCCAUUAUAUUUUCUUGAAAGGAAAAGGAAGGCGAAGGAAUUCAGGUCUUGAUAAUUGUUCUUGAUGUGCAUCCCCAAAAGUACAUUCUUUUAUCACUAGUUGUCAAAUGAAUUAUAGCUUUUUCCACUAUUUUGUGUAGGAUACUGUUUUUGUUGGUGUCUGUUGUGCUGUAUCAUUUUUCCGAGCAGAUCUCACACCAAACAUUUUUGUACUGAAAUUGCUUACAAUUAUUUUGCUUCAAAAUUUCAACGGAAAGAUUAGUGUAAAAUAUCAUGUUUUAUUGAUGUCAAGAAAAAAAUUUGCCUCAAUUUUCAAGAACCUUUUAGAUUCGGAAAUGCACAGAUAUGGUUUUGCAUGGUUGGUGGGAUGGAUGGAAAUUGCAUUCAACCUAUGGUCAGUUGGUCACAUUUUUUUUCUGUAGAUCUUUUUCUUUAUAGUUUUUCUGGAACCAACUUCUGUCACUAAUUUUUUUCUACUUUCAUGUUUAUCUAAAUAAUGAUGAUUGAUGACAAUUGUUUUGCUCUAAAAUUUUGGGGAAAUGUUCGUACAGGUAUUUGCAUCACAUCACAAUCUGCAAAGCAGGAAUACCUGAAACUCUCAUCCAGAGUUGACGAAAUCAUGUCAACUUAGAAUGAUAUCAAGGCUCUUGUUACAUUCAGAAGAUCAGGGCUUCAGGCCCUGCUUGUUUGUUGCUGGAUGAAGACAUUCACCAGGAAACCACUGCAAAGUGCAGUGCACGUACAAUUCCUUCGAUCAAGUGGAAGGGCAUUUCAUGGGCUUAUAGAUCAACUUUGUUCCAAAUGUCCUAAACAUGAUGAUGGUGCCACUUUGCAAAGUGAAACCACUUCAAGCAAGUUCAUGUGUUUAUACAAGUUCUUCAGGACAUCAAGUGAAGGUGACACUGCAGCUGUAGACAAUGUAUUGCGCAAUGAUGGAAAUACAGAAGUUGUCGCUAUCCAGUCGAAAGAAAAUGGUCGCAAUUCUAAUAACAUAUUGGAGGAUGGAGAGAAGUCAGUUCUGUCGUCGGAUCAUUCUAAAAAAUUGAGUGCACAUCAUCGACUGAAAAUCUGGAUUACUAGUGGACACAGUGGCAUAAUCGGAAGAUACGGAAAGAAGUUGGAGCUAAAUGCUGCCAAUGUGCCUAAGCAGUUCCCAAGUGAACAUGUGAAUACUGUAUGGCCAGAUUGGCUCAUGAAGGUGGCCCCUGAGGCAGUGCAAGGCUGGUUCCCUCGUCGUGCAGAAUCAUUUGAGAAAUUAGGCAAGGUGUGUAGUCAAGUUGAUGAUACAAUACAAGUUACUCAUUGGAAAAUUUUGAUAUUUGUGCUUGUUAAUGCUAAUUUCUUUAACCAUCCCUAAUUACUAUUGUAUCACUUCUUUUCUAUUUCAGAUUGGAGAAGGAACUUAUAGUAGUGUGUACAAAGCUCGAGAUCUUAAAACAGGCAAGAUUGUUGCUCUCAAGAAGGUGCGGUUUGUCAAUUUGGAUCCUGAAAGUGUGCGCUUUAUGGCAAGAGAAAUACUUGUUCUUCGGAAACUGAAUCAUCCGAAUGUCAUAAAGUUGGAAGGGAUCAUAGCAUCUCCUGUUUCAACAAGUUUGUAUCUUGUAUUUGAAUACAUGGAACAUGACCUUACUGGUCUUGCUGCAACUCCAGGCCUCAAGUUCACUGAACCACAGGUGAUUGUGAUACUAGUUUUUCAGUUAACCACUUGGCAGACAAGAAUUUUAACUGUUCCCCUUUCUCAUUAAUUUCAGGUAAAGUGCUUGAUGCAACAAUUGCUUAGUGGCCUUGAUCACUGCCACAGCAAUGGAGUUCUUCAUCGAGACUUGAAGGGUUCCAACCUCUUGAUUGACAGCAAUGGUGUCUUGAAGAUUGCAGACUUUGGUCUAGCAACAUUUUAUGAUCCUAACAAUCAGCAACCACUCACAAGCCGUGUUGCAACAUUGUGGUACAGGCCACCGGAACUUCUGCUUGGUGCCACUAAGUAUGGAGUUUCUGUGGAUAUGUGGAGUACUGGGUGCAUUCUGGCAGAAUUGCUUGCUAGCAAGCCAAUCAUGCCAGGAAGAACUGAGGUAUACAUACAACUAUUAGUCUAUUACAUUUAGUAUAGUACCUUAUGUCAUUUUAUAUCAUGGUGUUCUCCAACAAUGCAUUCCUAGGUAGAGCAAAUUCACAAGAUCUUCAAGCUCUGUGGAUCACCCUCUGAUGAGUACUGGCAGAAACUGAACGUGCCCCAGACAGGGAUGUUCAAGCCCUCUCGCCAGUAUAGGCGGUGUAUUGCAGAUAAUUUCAAACAUUUCCCUCAGCCAGCUAUAGUUCUUCUAGAUAAUUUGCUUGCAUUAGAACCAGAAGCUCGUGGAACAGCUGCCUCGACUCUCCAGAGUGACGUAAGUUAGUACCCUCAAAUUGAUUAUUGGUUGCAGUGCAGUGUUCUGUAAUUUACUACGGUACAACACGAAGUUUUUGGCUACCCCAGGAAAGACUUGUCCUUUUUUUAUGAAAAUAUUAUUGGGGGUUAAUCAAGGCACAUUUCUUGAGUUGGAAUUUGUCAUGGCCUAAGAAAUCAGCCUUACGUGGCCUUGCUGGCCCAGUACAUAAAGGCAGAACAAGGCAGGCAUCCAACAGGUCUACAACAGAUUGAUUCCUAACUGUUGUUUAGUUUGUUUUGGUCUUAAGCCACUUAUAUAUAAGAAUUCGAUUUCAUUAGCGAGUGGUUUUGAAGGCCGGCUGCAUACCUUCACAAGGUGUACAGCAUACACGCAGCCUUCUUCCCGGCUGUUUUAACUUGAUCUAAUGAUCAUUACAAAAUGAUUUUCCAUUUUUGGAAUACCUAAAACGAUGCAUAGAUCUAGUCAGAAGUAACAAAAUGAUGUCAAUUGAAGGCAUAUUUUCUAUAUUUUAGGUUGAAUUCUGUGUGUACUGGAUUGACAACUUGUUGUGGAAACCAGACAUUUUUCAAAGUUGAUUUGGUAUCUAGCUUGUUAGAGGAAAUAUUGUACUGACCGCCUAGUACCAGCAAACUAGUGCCUGCAAAAAUGCUAAACUGGUCCAGAAGUAGUUUUCCCCAGUAUCAUGCCAAUACAACUCACAUGGUUCAACAAGUUAUUAUGUCUUGGUCUACCGCGAUUUCAUUAUAUGUCUGGUUUUUCAUAGCCUUCUUUUAGGAGAACAUUGCAUCGCAGCACUUAACCAUGUAUCACAAACUUUAGUUUUUCAGAAGAAAGCCACUUGCUUGCAGCCCUUCAAGCUUACCAAAGUUUCCACCGAGCAAAGAAUACGAUGCAAGACUCAAGCUAGAGGAAGCUAGGAGGUAUGUGUUUCCCAACCUUUUAUUCUUCAAGGAGGAUGUAAUUGAGAAGAACUAUUAGUGGAUUCUGAAAUUCUGUCACGUUUCUGUAGGCAAAGAAAGGUUGGAGGAUCUGUUAGACCUGGAAGAGAGAACGUUAGAAUAAAUCGUGGUAAUGGCUCUAUCCAACCAAAGGUGAGUACAAAGAUGUGCUCCUUCUUUUCCUAAUUUCCUGUAAAUAACUUUUAUUCCUUCUUAAUACAAAGAUGCGCUCCUUGCGUAUUCCCAAAAAAAAAAAAAGGUGAGUACAAGAAAUUUUUCUUGAUGAUCAUUGUUAUAUGCAGAAACUUUGAUAAGAUGUGCUGCUCUCCAAUUAUACAUGCUCAUGCUUGAUGGAACAUCUUCAUAUAUUUGACGCUACUAAUCAUCUCCUAUACAUUAGCUCAAAAUAAGCACUAGAGGUUAACUCACCAAGCUUUAUCAUCGUGCAGAAACAUACAUAUAUCAGUGGAAAUCUCCACCCGCAAGGUGAUCCACGGACAUUAGCUACAAGGGUGCGAUCUCCUGGACUUAACGCCACAUGGAACAACAGGGGUGAUUCAAUGACGGUCGUGAAGUACCUGGAUGUAAGUACAACUCUGUGCGGAUAGCAUAUUCCACUAUCUUGACGACAAGGAGCUCAGACUUGCUUCAACCUGAACCAACUGAUGUAAUGAAUAAGAUGCAUGGUUCUCCCAAGAACGACCUGGGAGAGAAGGGCCAGACUGGGGUAAGGAUGGUACUUCUGCAAAUGUUAAUUCUUUUUUAAUAUAACUUUGGUUGGUCAACAAAAGCAUCAGUCUGGUCAGAUGAAAAGCACAUAAGAAUAUCAGCUUAAAGGACAUCCCUCAUGUAAGGUUUAGUGUCAUUGCCUGUUUGUUAGUGUUGCUACUGAUAUAUAUGUUGUAAGGUAUUGUUGCAAGAGUGUUCCACAAGUGAACAAAACUUAUAGUUUACAGAAAUUUUAAAUAAAAGAUGGACUGAAUGUCUCAAGAGUCAUAGUACAAUGAUUUGAUAUUCUACUACAAUCUUUACUUGCUGACUGUGACAUACAGACUAUAAUUUUCUGCUGAGAGUUGAGAUGUUGUGUAAUAUGUUGUACGGGCAUCAAUUCGUCGUCUCUGUAUACAUAUUGAUUUUGAUUUUAUGUAACAAAUUAAAUUGAUAAUUUGGCUGUUUUGAUUUAAAGACCAAACCAUUUAUCUCUUAACUAACAGUAGUCAUUUUUUUUGUUUUGCUUUUAUCUCUCCAGAGCUGUAGGGUUAAGAACAGAACGCAUCACUCUGGUUCACUGGUUACACCAGAAGGAAACAUAGAGGAGAUGCUCAAGGAGCAUGACAGGAACAUCCAAGCAGCCAUGCGCAAAGCACGCCUUAACAAGAAGAAAUAGUUGUGACAUUUAGGUGUGUUCAAGCUAAAGAUCCCAACUUUUCCAAGUUCCAGUUGAGGAAUGGCAGGGCUGCAUUCUUGCACAGAGCACAGAGCUUCUUCAAAAGGGUAAUUGCUUUAAAACGUGAUGAAGUAGCUGAAAAUAACAUGAUCACUUAAAAGUGCAGAUAUGUUAAAGUGUCAGGUCAUUUGAUUGCCGUUUUUUCUACAGAUCAAGAUCAAACCUGAAAUGUCGAUACAAUACGAGAGUUUGGGCAUGGACAUUAUUUCAAAUGACAGGUUGUCCUUUGAACCUGAAAUUCUUGACUGAUGGCAGUGAGAGAUCCAGAUCAUGCCGGAGCAACUAAGAAGAAAUUUCGACAACAUUGAGUCAUGGAUAGGUACAUCUUACAGUUACAAAGUAUGAGCAGCACUGCGGAAGAGGAGGCCAAACAGAGUGCCAGGGAUAUCCGAAAGCGUAGACUGGCCUUUAUUCUUGCCUGAAUUCUUGUUUCACCAAGCUUCUGUGGUCUUUCCCCUUGUUAUGGCUGUUCUAACCCAUGCCAUCUGCAUCUGGUGUUGCUAGACGGGCUUGUAUAAACUUUUCAUCCUCUUAUUUCUCUUGUUUUUCUUCUUGCAAGGGUCUUAUAUAAACUGUGCAUUCUUUGUCCAGUUUUUUGGCUGUGUGCAUUCUAUGCAGAGGCCGGGGGUGGACUCAGUUGGAAUGUAUCAUCUUGGUGUAUUUAACUGAGUCUUAAUAAAACUUCCAUUAUCUAAAAAAAAUAAACUGUGCAUUCUUUACUUUCCUUUUCCUUAAUUGAAUGGCAGAGUUCCUGCCUACUUUUGUUUGAUAUAAGAAGGAAUUUGUAGUGGGGUUCCUUGAAGCUGGAAACAAUGCAGAAAACUGUAACAGCAUGUUUUCCUUCAUUCUGCCUGGAAACCGGAAGAGAAACUACAAUUGGUGUUUGCAGCUCAACCUCAGGAGUUCCUAACAUCCUGUUCAAGCAAUGGUAUGUGAUGCUUCUAUCUCUAAUCUUCAGAAGAAAAAAAAAAAGAAAAGCUGAAUUCAGAACUUCCAUCUUCACAUUGUAAGUACCUUCCUCUAGAUCCAUUUAGGCUGCUAAAAUGCGUAGCCAUUUCCAAGGUUCUGAAAUUCUAUCUUCAAGAAGCUUUUGUUGAGAAAAAUGUAGCGAUGCAAUGUCAAGAUCAGUCGUCUUCCCCUGUGACAUUUUUUUCCCUGAUGAGACAAUCACUGGAAGAAACAAAAUGUGUUGGUACAUCGGAGUCUGCUAGUUGUUGGUUCAUGUGGUUCAGAUUCUUCCCUUGAAUUUCACUCCUCUCCUUUUUAAAUUUCUCUACAUGUUGGGCAUUUUUCUUCUGAAGCAGACCUUUCAGUUCUCAAAUCUUUGUAUCAGCUUCUGUAGUAUUUUGUGAUGAGAAAACAUUUAAUAAUGCUUGUGUCUAUCGAAUUAGGGGAUUAAUUGUUCGUGUUGCUGCUAGAUAAAUGCAUAAUCAUAAUUUUUUUUUCUUCAAGGGAAAAAGUUGGGAACUCGAAAUAAUAGGUGAAACAAAAUUCACCAGUAGACAUAAGCUUCUUUUGUCAAUAUUCUAUAUGAAGGGUUUACAAGUUGAAUGGGUUCGGAAUGCAAUCCCUGUCGAAUCACCAAAAUUCGUGAAUUUUGCUCGAGUUUCAUCAAACUCUACUGAAGCCUACCGAAUCCUACCAAUUGGCAAGAAGAGAAGCGCGAGAGCUCAUGCUUCCCUUUUUGCCAAUUGUUUCCCUUCUCUGGCAGAAGCAUUCUCAAUCAGCUCCCAAUAGUCCUAAAAAAAAUCAGCUUCCAAUUGUUUGAAAUUCGACACAUAGUCACUUAAAAUGUUACUCCCUCCAUUCUUUUAAUAUAUGACAUCGUUAGCAAUUUGAGAUACUUAUGAUCGUUAUAUCCAAAAAAAUUAUGUAAUUAUUAUUGUGACUUGAUUUAUCAUCAAAUGUUCUUCAAGCAUGACUUCAAUAUUUUUUAUAUUUGCACAGAAAUUUAAAUAAGAUAAAUAGUCAAACGCUGGUCAAAAAAGUCAAUGACGUCAUAUAUUAAAAAAACAAAGAUAAUAUUAGCACAUUACUGCUAAAACCAAAAUGAAUCCUAGAUCAUAAAAAUGUCAUUAACUCAUAGUUACUUCAAAUUCGACAGUGAAUUUGAAAUUCCGAAAUGUUGUCCCCAUUUCAAGUUAUCAACAAGAGUUGAGAUUUGAGAAAAACCAUGGCAACAAAAAGGAACACAAAGAAGCAGAAGAAGAAAUCUACAAAUAUAUUAUUGUUUCCUCUAACAUAAAUCCUAUACAAAUAUUUAAAUAUGCAUAUGCUACUAAUAUGUGUUUAAUUACUGGUAAAAUGGUAUAUAUUUACCCAAUGAUAAUAAAAUAUUUCAAGGGCAAAAUGGCAUUCCUUCCUUGUGGCUAGGGAUGGCGAAUCGCCUGAGGUUGCCAACCCCCUCCUUGAGGUAGCCGCCGCACAGGAACGCCGUCGAGAACCUGUCCUGCACCGGCUUGUCCACGUCGUGCACCACCACGUCCGUCUCCGUCUCCGCCGCCGGCCGCCGCGCCCGCGCCGCCACCGCCGCGGUGUAUAUCGCGCCCAUCAUCGCCGUCGUCGUCGGCGGCGGCGGCGCGUGCGCGUCGACCACGAUCACGUCCCACUCCGCCUCGUAGAACGCCGCGGGGAGGCCGCGCACGGCGAGCUUGCACGGCGAGCGGUCGAAGUGGCCCGGCGAGAGCUGGGUGGCGGCGGCGCCGGUGCAGUGCUCGGAGUCGCGGAGGGCGAGGAGCUCGUCGGCGUCGGCGGCGCUGGCGAGGUAGGCGACGCGGUAGGCCUCGAUGGCGAGGCUGGCCGGGCUGGCGCCGGACACCAGCGCGUCGUCCUCCUCGAGGAACACCGUGCGGCCGCCGUGGUUGAGCGCCGCCCAGAGCGCGGCGCCGUGGCCGAGCCCGAACACGAGCAGGUUGCACGGCGCCCGCCGCGACACCGCCCGCGCCGUCGCCGCCACCUCCUCGGCGGACCUCCUCCUCCCCCGCCCCCACGCCGUCGCGUUCGACGUCGCGUAGUGGACCAGCGCCUCCGCCACGCCCGCCGGGACACGGUCACACUGAUCGUCCCGCUGCUGCUGCUGCGAGCGGUGGACGACGACGGGCGCCGGCGAGGAGGUGUUGGCGGCGGCGGCGGAGAGGGUGCGGAGGGUGAGGAGGAGGAGGAAGGCGGAGGCGGCGGCGGCGGAGAGGAGGAGGAGGCGGCGCGGCGUGACAUGGUGCUUGAGCUUGGCCUUGGCCGACACCAGCUGGCUCUUCAGCUUCGCCCUCCGCGCGUGCAUGGGGCUCGCCAUUGCACCUCUUCUUCUUGCACUAGCUAAGCUAAGCUAAGUUGCUAGUGUCUCCUUUUCUUUUUCACUUUGCUUUAGAUUAGUGGUGUGUUGUUGUGAUUAUGCAAUGAUAUGAUGCAUUGCGAUUUGUUUGGUUGUUUGCAAUUUGUUGGUGUUUUGUACUUUUAGGUUGUGUUGUUGAUUGUGUGUUGUGUACUUUUUUGGGGGAGGAUGUAUUGAAUGUGUGUGGUAGGACAGGGAUGGGUUGGUAAAUCGGUAGGUGAUUGAUGCUUGAAGGAUCAACAAGAUGCAGCUAUCUAGCCAUGCAUGUGUGGCAGCUGAUUGGUGAUGAGUAGUACUACCACAGACCUAAAGUUUGGUGAGUUGUGUGUUUGUUAGAUCUCCUGGGGAUUUUUUUUAUUAGGGUUGAUUUGUAUAUAUCAAUGGCUAAGAUAAUCUCUUUCUUUUUGAAAAAAAACAUUUGUUAAUUAAUUGAACGAAAGGUUGUUGAAAAAGCAAGGAUCAUCUAUGAAAUAGUUUGCUUUAUGUACAGACAGAAAUUAAAAAAAGAAGUCCUAUGUUUAGAAUGAGCCGAAAUCAAUAUUAGAGGGAAGGAAUUACUUUGUUUUUGUUGAAUAAAGCCCUAUCCAAAGCAAUUGUUUUGUUUAUUUGAGCUCCCACCAGAGUGGAGUGGGGCCGGGACUUGUGAGGACGAGCUCACAGACAUUAGAUUUUGCACGGGUUGCUGCCUAGCAGGUCCUUCUUUCCCCUCCACCAUCGUUUCUCUUCCUCCCCUCUCUCUUAGAUCUUAUCACACGCAGAACACAUCAAAGCCAUUAAUUCUGUGAGGCACACAUGCCUUCUGAUGAGGGAUGUAGGUCCCGAUCUUCCGAUAGUUAUUGAUAAACAGUCGAUUUGGGCAGAGUCGCAACACAACUCGAUCCGGCUUCUGAAUGAACACGCUACUGAGCCCCGCAAUCGCAGCACCACGUCUCCUCUGGUUAUCAAUCGUGCUGAAAUCCGGUUGACCUUGCCGAGAAGGCUAAUCCCUGUAUACUAAUCGAAGAACACAAGCAAGAACAAGAUAGAUUACAACCAAAUUGCAUAUGAAUGAUUAAUCACUUGAAUUUGGGGUUCCACAAACCAAUCUAGCGGCAAAACUGUUCUUGACUGAAUAAUAUAAGCAAAACCCAACUCUAUACGAUGAUGGCUACUGAAUUAAUAUGAUUAGGGACGUCCUAGGGUUGCCCUAGGGCGCACACCCCACUGGGCUAAGCCCACGACACAAUUACAGAGCCCAAAACUCAAAAUCAGAUUCGGACUGGAUGAGAUACGUGGCUUGUUUUGCAGAUUCCCGGUUGCCCUAGGGAGCACACCCCACUGGGCUAAGCCCACGACACAAUUACAGAGCCCAAAACUCAAAAUCAGAUUCGAACUGGAUGAGAUACGUGGCUUGUUUUGCAGAUUCCCGGCAGCUCGGUAGGAAUUUUGACGUGGGACCAAAACCAUCUGAAAGUAGACUUCAUAAGCUUUCCAACAAGUACUCAUGGGCCCCAAAAUUCCUUCUAGAUCAGCGGCUAGGUCCGUUUGAAGUUGAUGCUGUCAGGAUGCCCGAAUCCGAAUCCAAAACGUGUAGAACUUUAUCUCUUGUCUUCUAUGGACCAAAAGUGAUGUGGUGAGAUAGAAAUAGACUUGUAGAAGGUCUUGGUUUGGUCCCCAAUCAACUUCUUUAAUCAUCCAUGCAUUAGUUACACUCGGUCUCUUUUCCUUCGCCCAAGCAAGUAUCUCUGCAAACAAAAACACACCAAACUCAUUAUGUAGCAACGUUUGUUCAAAUAUAUAACAUGCAUAUGCACCUUUGGUUGAUUAAUACAUAAGAUAGUCAUGGUUAUAUCUGAGCUAGUUAUGUCCUCAUCAUCUGUACAGUAGCAUACUCUCUCCGUCUAGAUUCGUUGUACGAGGUUGUUUUUUUUUGACAGAGGGAGUACACGUACCUACGAAGGCAUGGGCUCCCCCAGCCAAGCUAGCAACGAAAUUCCGACAUAAUGGGAUGAGGCACUAUUCGCCAUGUGCUUGUGUUGUUCAUGGCGCCUAAGGAAUAUAUAUACAAUCGAGACCACUGCUUUCCAUGGUCUCAACGUGCCACAUAGGAUAAUAUCACACACAAAGACCACUUCACCCAUAAUGCAACUCCCUUCAUUCCAAAAUAAACUCCCUUCGUUCCAAAAUAAACCAAUCUUAUAUUAGGAUGAUAUCCAGAUACGUUGUAUUAUCACGUGUCAUAUCUUAGUACAAGAUUGGUUUAUUUUGGGACGAAGGGAGUACACUCCAAAAUAUUUUUUGCAUUUUAGCAUUUAGUAAUAUAAGUGUCAGCCCUUACAAUGGUAUCUCAUUAUCAACUUUUAUAUUUAAGACGUUAUAACAAUAAAAAAGAUACAUAGAUACCCUAACCAACACAUGGACCCAUUGUCAGCCUCUCCCACCUCCUUUUUCUCUCCCCUACCGCACUCUCUAUACCCAUCAGCCACUAGUGCCAAAACCCAUCCCAUUCUCUCUAACGGAACGACGCCUCCUCUUCCACGGCCGAAGCGCCACCUCUCCCUCCCCCCUCCUUUAUCAACGGUGGUAGACGAUCCCAUGGCAACGACGGAUCCCCACGGGGUGAAGCAUCUCUAUGAGUUUGUUGGCCUCCCCUUCUCCUUCUCCGUGAGUGUCGGUGAUGGAUCCCCACAGUGACAGCAGAUCUAGUCGAGAGCUCCCUUGCCUCUCCCUCUUCCCAUCAUCUUAUCCUCUGGCGACAUCGGUGACAGAUCUGAAUGUGGCCCACGAGCUCGCCAAAUCCUUCGAAGAGCUCGUCAGGAGUCCUUGGUGGAGGUGGGGAGUAGCGACUCAACCUCGGCAUAGUCCUCAAUGGCGGCGAUGACCACACCAAGUCUGUUCUUCUUCUUUCCCCCACAGCAUGUCGCGAGCCUCCAAACUUCUCAAUGUGUGGCCCCGAGCUGUGGCUUCACAGCUCUUGAGCUGGGGCAGCGCCAAGGCCACUAGAACCUCUAUAGGUCAAGAGCGGUAUCGCGAGACCCCGAUCUCCACUAGCACGGGCACUCUCGUCUCCGACGUGAAGGCCCGAGAUCACUGUCCACGGUGUUGCGUCAGACAUGGCCUAGAUGACGUUGGCGACAGCGUUGGCACUCUACACUGACACGAUAUCCACGUGAACCUCCAUGUGUCCGCCAGGUCAUCAUCAUCGCCUCGUAGUUCCCUCAGAUCCCCUUCAUCACGCGCACAAAGCCGCACAAAGCAACAAAAAAAAGAACAGGAGAGUCCCAAGCGAGAGGAGAGGAGAGGGGAGGCGAUGGGGAGCGGGAGCAAGAAGAAGAGCGGAGGAGGGGAUGACCAGAGGCCGCUCCUCUGGAGGCUCCCGGAGGUCACCUCCACCGAGCUCGGCAAGAUCGGCCCCGCCUUCGGCCUCGGCGUCGGCUGCGGCGUCGGCGCCGGCGUCGGCUUCUUCGGCGGUAACUUCUUCCCCCCUUCUCCUUUGUCCCCAAAAGGUCGAAUCUUUCAUGUGUUUCGUUGUUCCAUCAGCCGAUAUUCUUGGCUCGUGUGCUGGGUAGAUAUCUAGAUGAGGUUGGGAUAGCUCGGGGAUUUAAAGGAGGUUUUUUUUUUUUGGGAGGGAAUGGGAUAGGGUUUUUCCUAAACCUCGUCGUGAUCGAUUCCUGUGGAUAGAUUGGUUGGAGCUGAUCCAAAGAACUGAAUUGAUCGAUGUAUUGCUUCGAUUGGUACUAAUUCUAGCUGAUUUCUGCAUUGUACAAGUCUCGUCGAGGAAAUCCAUUCGCAUGAUAAGGAUAUCGAUUAUAGAUAAUUUUGGUGUUACAUACAGAGAUCAGCAAGCUUGCCAGUGGGUGUAGUGGUAUCAUUAGGAGUUUAGGGUUUAUCCGAGGUCUGUCUCAACAGCAAAAUUUUGCUGCCAAGGAGUCUAAUUUCAGAAUUGUAUCUGUAAUGCACUACAAUAUCAUCAGUAAAAAAAAACUUAAAUAAUAUGUUUAUAAUUUAAUAUCCUGGAUGGCUUGGAAUUCUUACUCUUAUGCCUAGGAAUUGAGAAUUUCCAAUUGUUGGCUCUAAAUUCUUUGAACUGUAAGUUUGAUUGUCUGAAUAAUAGCUUAAAUAAAGAUCAUCAUUAGACAUUCGUUAUUUGCUUGCUGUUAAAACGAUAUUUAGCAUAAUGAGAUGCACCAUUUGCUAACUCUUGGUGCUCAUACACAAUGCUUUCACUUUCCUUGUAUUGAAUUUUGAGAUAGUCAUACUUCUGCUUAUAAAAAUAACGACAGAAUUAGAGCUACAUAUGACUGGCACCAAAUAUCUGUGACAACACACACAUCUUAAAUUGAUACUAGAUUUUACCAAUAUUAAUGAAUCUCAACACGAUAGAUAUUUGUUCAAACACUAUCAUUCAUUCCAAUAUGGCAUAGAUAAUCAUUAAUUAAAUACUCAUCCAGAUUACUGCUGGAGUUCAGAAUCAGUACUUGCUUAAUUUUUCUCUUUUACUAAAUUCACAAAUUAUGUGAGCACACCUCACUCAUUCCUUCUUUAAUUUUACUGUCUGGUGAUAUUUUAAACUCACAUUAUGUCCAUGUAACCAUGACAAUUCAAUCCCUUUUUUUCCAUGGAUGGUGUAUAAUCAUUUCUUUUUAUGAAUGUUUAGGUGCAGGAUUAGGUUAUGGAUUUCCCGGACUCACAUUAGGCUUUGGAGUUGGAGCUGGAUGUGGUGUAGGAUUUGGCUUUGGUUAUGGAUUGGGGAAAGGAAUUGCUUAUGAUCAAAACAAAAGAUACUCUAAUGUUGGCACGAUGUUCCAAGAAGCUCCAAGUCUUCCGAUGUAAGUAUUGCGUGGACAUGGAAAUAUUUGCCAGGAUUUGUGCUGAUAAAUCUGUUGCCUAAAAUUGUUGAGAACUGCAGCUACAGCAUGAGCCUGAAUUCUGCAAUAGUAUUUUUUUUCCCUGAUAAUGUUGUGCCCUGUGAUUAUUUUCUGCAUUACCAAAGAUUCUAAGAUUGAGUUUGAAUGAAUGAUUUUUUGAAGUUGUGAUUCAGUAACCAUCCACCAGAAUAAUUCUGUUCAGUUAUAUAUUGUUCCUGUUUCCAAUUAUAUUUCAAAUGAGUAAUGCAUAAUGUAAUUCCAUAUUCUGUUAAUUAUUGUCCUGCAUUAUGCAUGGUGUGUGGAUUGAGCAGCAAUCUGGAAAUAUAGCUGUCAUGAAAUGAGCAGUUUCAACAGUCUGUUCUGUGAAUUACUUGUAGAUAUUGAUUAUAAUUGAGUCAUGUGGAGGGACGAAUUACAUUCAAGGACAGAAGUUGGACUAGAUUAAUGGUAUAUUUUGAAGUGAAAAGAUUGUUGAAGUUGUCAAAACUGUCUGUCUACUGGAUUGUCAGUAUGACACUUUGGCUGGGAAAGAAACAGAACCAGAGCAUGACUUUUUAGAAUGUCAUGGAAAAAAUGGAACCUAAGUGACAAGUUUAUACUGUAGGACUGAUUCAAGUCCAAACUUUCAUCAUUUUGGACAGUAGACAGAAUCUGACUUUUAAUGAGUUAGCUACACUUCAUUCGUCUCAGCUAUCCAAAAUUCUAUAUAUAUCUAAAAGCUUUAAGUUUUGAACACAAAAUGAGGUGGAAGUAUGAAAUGCAAACCCAUAGAAAGCCAUGGAUACUAUGUUUGUGCUCAAACACCAUGAAUUAUGUUUUCUCGUAUUAAUUUUUGCAACAAUUCAAACUUGGUGAAACAAAGUUUCAGGGAUAAAUUGUUCAUAAAAGCCCUAACUUGGUGGAAAUUGCCUAGAGAUAUGAUUUGACCACCUAGUCCCUCAACUGACCAGUUUUUAGAACCUAGUGCAGAUUAUUCGGAGACUUGUUCCUUUCAGAUGUCAACAACAAAAUAUCAAGAUAUUUGAAGUGAUAACCAAGUUAUCCUACAUGAAAAUAACAAAAAGAAUAACUUUUUUCUGACUCCUAAAGUCCUAACUCACACUACAAUUUUUUGUUAGUUACCGUUGUUUUUGAAAGCAUUGCAUAGUACAGAACACAGCUAUUACUGUUCUCAAAAUCCUGUUCUCUUCUGGGAAGAAAGAUUGCAAUUCUUUUCAUAUAAUUACGUGUUAUAAUGAUUAGUUUAGUCACAACUAAGCUGAAGGCUGAAGCAGUCCUCAUUCCAUAGUUAAAUAUGUAUUUGUUGGAGUACCAUUUAGUCUCUUAUUAUUCUACUGAUGAAAGCAGUGGAAUGAAAUACACUAUAUUUUGAUGUUCUCCGCAAAACCUUUGACAUCUGGGCAGUACUCUACUAUUGUGUCCUUAAUUUCGGAUGAUUAUUUUCUGCUGAUAAUAAAAACGCUAAUUCUUUCCACCAGUUUUUUUGCCAUGGUUGUUAGACAUACUGUUCAGCUGGCGCUUAUUGUUUUCUGGACCUCGAUUUUUGUUAAGCAUACAUGGAUCAAGCUAAAUUUGGACUGUGCAACAAGGUGUGCCUAUUGUUGUGUUGCUCAUCCUUUCUUCAUUGUCUCUGUUGCAGGGACACCGUUGCUGGUUUGGUUGAUGAGCUGGUUGUGAACACCAAAAAGCUUGUGAGAGCAACUUCAAAAGAGAUUGAAAAAUGGCGUUGAGCUUAUAAUUGCCUCCAUCAGCUGUGUCAGCCUAUGAAAACUGGGUUAUCAUUGAAGGUUAUAAGCAAGUAUGCUGUUGUCUUAGAUGAAGGUUUAGGAGCUAGCCAUGGGAUGAAGCCUAUUGCAAGCAGUAUGCUAUCUUAGAUGGAAUUUAGGAGUUAGUCGUGGGAUGCAGACUAUUGCACUGCAAUGUUCUUUCUUAUUCUUGUGUACAUCAGUAAUUAUGUCUAUAUUUAAUUAGGGUAAUGAAAUGCUAUUGCAGUCUCUGCAUGUUAGAAAUCCCCCUGUGAUGAACAGUGUCAGUUAGAAUUCAGGAACAAAAUAUGAGACUGGUGAUCUCAUUUGGCUGCUUGUUAUUACUCUGUUAAUGGUUGUGCUCAUCUCAGGCUGUGCUUUCUUGGAUGAAUUGAUUCUGUGGAAUUUUGAUGGCAUUAGGACAUUGAUAUACCUUGAUAAUAUCAGUUAAUUAAAUGUACAUUAGUGUUCAAGCAUAUGUGUGGCCAGGAUGUGUUGUCUUGGCUAUAUCUGCCUCUGCCCUCUGGUUGGUUCUGCUUGGUGUCUCUAUCCAUCUAAUGUGGACCAUUUUGGUCCUUCAUGAUGAAACAACACCACAAGAGGCCCUAAGUGGUGCCACAUCAGCACCCUCAUCUGCCAGGUUAGCAUGGACUGCCCAAUCAGAUCCAAGCAACAGAUAGCCCUCCUGGGCACCCAGCCAAUGGCAGCUUCCAUGGCUAAAUCUUGCAUGGGCCCACAACAUCCUCCAAAUCCCCAUUUCCAUCCAUUUAAACUAGCUCUCCUUUCUCUCCACAAACGCCCACCACAGUCUCCCCCUUUCUGAACACAGCACCACCCCUUCUGCUGCAUCUCCCACCUCCCUCUGAAUUGUGGGCCUGAGGCGAUGGCGGCGCUCGCCCCGUCCAAGAUGCUCGGCACCCGGCUCAACUUCGCCGGCUCCUCCCGCUACGCCACCGCGGCACCGACCACCGGAGCGCAGAAGAUCGUCUCCCUCUUCAGCAAGAAGCCCGCCCCGAAGCCCAAGCCCGCCGCCGUCACCUCCUCGAGCCCCGACAUCGGCGAUGAGCUCGCCAAGUGGUACGG